GUUUAUUUGAAAGACCAGUUAACUUUCACACUUUGAUUAUUCUCUUUUUGGACUCAUUGCCCUUUAUCAGUUUAGCUGGUGAUUCCAGAUUAUGAACUGCUCAAUGGAGCCAGUUGCAUUGGAACUCAACGGACACUGCAUGCAUAGAGGAAAAAAGGAAGGUCUGUGAAUUUGGUGACUUCUGACUCUGCAUGUGGGCUUUGCCAAUGAUCAGACUUGCGAUCUCAGGGCACUGCUGUAAAGCCACUGUCUCCCUGGAAAAUUCUCUUUUCUUGGUUUCCAUGGCUCAAGACAGGCCAGAAUUCUGACAAAAUGCAUUUGAAAACUGGCUCCAAUCCUGUGCUGAGUUCUGGCUCUUCAAUAGGACAGACUACUGUGAUUAUCUUCUACAGGAGGAGCUAUGAGGUAAGGUAAGAUGGAAUUAGCAAAUGCCCCCUCCCCUAGCCCACACCUUGUGAUUUUGGGGGACUCUUUCAGUUUCCUGUAUGAUCAGUUGAUAUAAUAA
ensembl:lncRNA